UCAUCCCUAUCCAAGUAUGUCCUCUAUUUCAUUUCUGUUUCAAAUUCGACCCCAAAACCCUAGAACCAAAGAAUUCCAAUCCCCUUUGAAUUGAAAGCUUUGGAUCAAUUGCAAUCAGAUCUGAAUCCACCAUUCCGCCAUGUCCUGUUUAGCCCUUGCUCUGCAGCCUGCUAAUGGAUCUGAUAUCCUCCUUCAAACUCGCGAAUGGUUCCCUCCACCGCGAGCGCUCGUUGCCCUAACCUCCUUCCGUCAGACGCGAUUGGCCUUCGCUGCCACCAAG
rnacentral:misc_RNA from 1 species